rnacentral:rRNA from 1 species
AAGGGUCCGGCUGUUCGCCGGUUAAAGGGGUACGCGAGCUGGGUUCAGAACGUAAAUUACAUUGCGUUCUACCACAGAAAUGUGGUAUAAUAAAUCUGACUUAUAUCGGUGAAACCCUACCUGAAUUACGAACGUUCAGAGGGCAAUACCGAGGGAAGAUCAGAUUGGUGUCGAACGAAGAAUUAGCUUAUAUAGCAGGAUUUCUAGAUGGUGAUGGCUGUGUAAUGGCGCAGCUAGUCCGUCGCAAGGAUUACAUCUAUGGUUAUCAGAUUAGGACUAGCGUCGUCUUUUACCAAAAAUCACGAAAUCAAAGAAUACUACAAUGGCUGAAAAGUCGAUUAAAUUUAGGAUAUAUCCGCCAUCGGAAUGAUGAAAUGGUGGAAUAUACUAUAGUCGGCUUGAAAGAAGUUGAAAGUAUCUUAACGAUUCUCCUGCCACAUCUUCGUUUGAAGAAAGAAUUAGCCGAACAGGUUAUAAAGCUUAUUAGGAAGCAUCCGAAAAGGAUGACCCCUAAGAAAUUGGUCCAUAUAAGUAAAAUGGUUGAUACUACAGCCAGGUUCAAUUACUCAAAGAAGAGGACCAAUACGAGCGAAACCGUUAGGUUAUAUCUGGAAAAAACCAAUUUGAUCCCUGUAGAGACUGAGGCUUAGGCCGAGAUAGUUUUGUAUAUAAACUAUAAGACGUCAGCCCCUACUUGUAGCUAGCAAGAGGGUGAAGAUAUAGUCCAUGCCGUUAGUAAUAACGGAUAAACAUGCGUAAGACAGUUCGGUCCCUAUCUAUUGCGGGCGCAGGAUAUCUGAGAGGACCUGUCUUCAGUACGAGAGGACCAAGACAGACGAACCUCUGGUGUUCCAGUUGUCACGCCAGUGGCACAAGCUGGGUAGCUAUGUUUGGAAAGGAUAAGCGCUGAAAGCAUAUAAGCGCCAAGCCCCCCUCAAGAAUGGAUAUCCCUCCUGUAGCAAUACAGGACGAAGACACCUUGAAGACUACAAGGUUGAUAGGUUCCAGGUGUAAGGCCCGUAAGGGUUUAAGCUGAGGAAUACUAAUCUGUCGAAGAGGCUUGACCAUUUUU